GUGGACAAAACGUGACCUUGACUGUCGCUACUAAUACCAUACUAAUAGCAAUAGUAAUAUGGAUGAUUGAGUGAGAAUAGAAGAAAAACAGUCAUGCGUAGUAAGACAAUUCUGUGUGGUGUCGGGUUAUCCAAGGUACGUCAUUUAUCAAGGCCGUGUGGUUGUGAAAUACGUGAUACACACAAGCUGGGGACAACCACAGUACGCAUCACCGAGUCACGUGCACCAGCGACACUGGAUCCCCUUCGUAUUAUGUACAAGUAAACCAGCCAGUGUUACCCAAUACCCGGUGCAGCUGAUAGAUCCAGACUCGGAUACGAACCACUUGACUGACGAGGCUGCGCUGCGAACAGGACAGGACAGAACAACACAGAGGCCUCAAGGGGAAUCGGAGUGGUCUUCAGUGUCGGUUCCCUUCCGCAAACCUGCAAGGAAAUCUUGGAAGCAACGUGCCCUUCAGUCUGUGGUAAUAGAGGGAGGAGAUGUCUGCAGUGGUCGGCCGAUCGUGUGCUAGACAGGGAGGCGUGGCGGCCAUGCAGCGCCUCGGCAGUGCACGGGAGGGACGACCUGGGCCGCAAGGAAGGCGUGAGAGCAGCAAGGCAGACUUGUCACUGAGAACUUCUGACGCCGCUUAAUACAAUGAUGCCAUUAUGUUUUUUUUUUUUUCUCGUAUAAUAUCACUGUUUGACAUUGACAAUAUUUUUUCCAUUUAUUUUUAAGGUGUAGACAAUGGCUGGCGGCCGUGAGAGGAGGUUGGUGAUUUUUUUUCUUUAAAGAUUUUGGGAUAUGCGUCUUGACUUAUGGCUCAUAAAAGGUCGUGAUGUGGUAGUACAUUGGUGUGUUCUUAACCGUAAUUGUGGCUGUGCUGGUUCUCAUCUUCCCCGGGCCUCGCGCGCUCCAGGAAGCCGCGUGUCUCCCUAAGAUCAAAGUUUAAAGCAAGAUCAGGAUUAGGUCUCGCAUCCGACCUUGUCUUCAGCGCCUCUGUCGUGAGGUACCGAGGCGGGGGGCGGCUCACCUUGGCUGCAGCUGAAGGUGCGCCCGCUAACCUUGCGGCGCCCCCUGUCCCCUGCCCCUUCGCUCCUCGCCACACUCCCCGUUUUGAUAAACACUCCUCACUUUCGCUUUCCGCUUUGCUCUUCGUUUUCUAU